UACGAAGGGGGCUAGCGUUGCUCGGAAUCACUGGGCGUAAAGCGCACGUAGGCGGAUUGUUAAGUCAGGGGUGAAAUCCUGGAGCUCAACUCCAGAACUGCCUUUGAUACUGGCGAUCUCGAGUCCGGGAGAGGUGAGUGGAACUGCGAGUGUAGAGGUGAAAUUCGUAGAUAUUCGCAAGAACACCAGUGGCGAAGGCGGCUCACUGGCCCGGUACUGACGCUGAUGUGCGAAAGCGUGGGGAGCAAACAGG
rnacentral:rRNA from 1 species